UACGGAGGGGGCUAGCGUUGUUCGGAAUUACUGGGCGUAAAGCGCACGUAGGCGGAUUUGUAAGUCAGGGGUGAAAUCCCGGGGCUCAACCUCGGAACUGCCUUUGAUACUGCAAAUCUCGAGUCCGGAAGAGGUGAGUGGAAUUCCUAGUGUAGAGGUGAAAUUCGUAGAUAUUAGGAAGAACACCAGUGGCGAAGGCGGCUCACUGGUCCGGUACUGACGCUGAGGCGCGAAAGCAUGGGUAGCAAACAGG
rnacentral:rRNA from 1 species